AAAAAAAAAAAAAUAAUAAUUAAAAAAUAAAUAAUAAUAAAAUAAUCUGGGAAUAUAAUAACCAGGAACAUGAUGGAAACUAGAAUUCCAAAAUGCGCAAAGCACUGGAAAAAGAAUGAAUAAAUUGAAGGACAUGUGCCCAUGACCAGUAAUCUAAAGAAAAACAAACUCUUCCCAUGUGAAAAGUCUAAAAAACCAAACCUAGCUUUUCAGUUACCAUGGCAUGUGUUGCAGUGUUCGUAAAACAAUAGCGUCACGUCAAGAGAAGUUAAACAAACAAAUCACAUCCAAAUGAAGACCUAGCAAUCCAAAUUCGAAGCAUAGCAUCUAGAAUCAUACUCAAGAUGCAAACAAAAACAUACCCCGCAAAUAAACUAAACCAAACCAUACACAAGAACAAGAAAAUUCAAAAUAAGUAAGCGAUUCAUAAAGAUGAUCAGGUCGCUUAGUGCACCAAAAUGAUCAAAAAAUAAAGGGGGGAAAAAAGAAGCAUCAAAACAGAAAUCAAUUUGAAGAAAGGUAACAAAAUAAUAAAAAAUAUAUUUAGAAUUGGAAAUCUGAUUAGAAUAUACCUAAAAUGCUAGAGCGAUGGAAG
rnacentral:misc_RNA from 1 species